rnacentral:tRNA from 1 species
GCGGAUGUGGUGGAAUUGGUAGACACGCCAGCUUGAGGGGCUGGUGCUCGAAAGGGCGUGGGGGUUCAAGUCCCCCCAUCCGCA